GUACACGCUGUGACUAGCAUAUCAAUAAGCGGAGGAAAAGAAACUAACAAGGAUUCCCCUAGUAACGGCGAGUGAAGCGGGAAGAGCUCAAAUUUGAAAUCUUAAAGGGUUUCCCUUUACGAAUUGUAGUUUAAAGAAGUGUUUUCUGUUGAGGUUUUGGUAAAAGUUCUUUGGAAUAGGACAUCAUAGAGGGUGAGAAUCCCGUAUUUGACCUUCACUUUCAACUUUGUGAUACACUUUCAAAGAGUCGGAUUGUUUGGGAAUGCAGUCCAAAAUGGGUGGUAAAUUUCAUCUAAAGCUAAAUAUUGGCGAGAGACCGAUAGCGAACAAGUACCGUGAGGGAAAGAUGAAAAGAACUUUGAAAAGAGAGUUAAACAGUACGUGAAAUUGUCAAAAGGGAAGCGUUUGACACCAGUGUUGUUUUUCUGAAAAUCAAUUAAAGAACUGUUUAUGCUAAGCUGUUUAGACUUUAUCAGCUAACUGUUUAGUUCUGAGCUUUUCUUUAAUGCACUUUUCAGUUAACAAGUCAACAUCAAUUUCUUUUGCUGUAAAAAAGCUUGAGGAAGGUGGCUUGAGAUUCGUCUUAAGUGUUUAUAGCCUCUUGCCUAUGCAGUCGGAGAGAUUGAGGUCUGCAGCGUAGAUCCUUCGGGGCUAAAUGCAUUUGUGCUAAGUUAUAGCAUUUUAUAGACAACUUGUUGACUAUGAUUUGUCUUGUAGCUUACUCGCUUAUGUUAUUUUACCUACGCUUAGGAUGUUGAGGUCGUAGAGCACGCAG
rnacentral:rRNA from 1 species